rnacentral:rRNA from 1 species
UACGUAGGGGGCUAGCGUUGUCCGGAAUCAUUGGGCGUAAAGCGCGUGUAGGCGGCUCGGUAAGUCCGCUGUGAAAGUCGGGGGCUCAACCCUCGGAUGCCGGUGGAUACUGUCGGGCUAGAGUACGGAAGAGGCGAGUGGAAUUCCCGGUGUAGCGGUGAAAUGCGCAGAUAUCGGGAGGAACACCUAUGGCGAAGGCAGCUCGCUGGGACGUUACUGACGCUGAGACGCGAAAGCGUGGGGAGCAAACAGG